rnacentral:rRNA from 1 species
GUCGAGCGAACAGAUGAGGAGCUUGCUCCUCUGACGUUAGCGGCGGACGGGUGAGUAACACGUGGAUAACCUACCUAUAAGACUGGGAUAACUUCGGGAAACCGGAGCUAAUACCGGAUAAUAUAUUGAACCGCAUGGUUCAAUAGUGAAGGACGGUUUUGCUGUCACUUAUAGAUGGAUCCGCGCCGCAUUAGCUAGUUGGUAAGGUAACGGCUUACCAAGGCAACGAUGCGUAGCCGACCUGAGAGGGUGAUCGGCCACACUGGAACUGAGACACGGUCCAGACUCCUACGGGAGGCAGCAGUAGGGAAUCUUCCGCAAUGGGCGAAAGCCUGACGGAGCAACGCCGCGUGAGUGAUGAAGGUCUUCGGAUCGUAAAACUCUGUUAUUAGGGAAGAACAAAUGUGUAAGUAACUAUGCACGUCUUGACGGUACCUAAUCAGAAAGCCACGGCUAACUACGUGCCAGCAGCCGCGGUAAUACGUAGGUGGCAAGCGUUAUCCGGAAUUAUUGGGCGUAAAGCGCGCGUAGGCGGUUUUUUAAGUCUGAUGUGAAAGCCCACGGCUCAACCGUGGAGGGUCAUUGGAAACUGGAAAACUUGAGUGCAGAAGAGGAAAGUGGAAUUCCAUGUGUAGCGGUGAAAUGCGCAGAGAUAUGGAGGAACACCAGUGGCGAAGGCGACUUUCUGGUCUGUAA